rnacentral:rRNA from 1 species
GACGAACGCUGGCGGCGUGCUUAACACAUGCAAGUCGAACGGAAAGGCCCUGCUUUUGUGGGGUGCUCGAGUGGCGAACGGGUGAGUAACACGUGAGUAACCUGCCCUUGACUUUGGGAUAACUUCAGGAAACUGGGGCUAUUACCGGAUAGGAGCUCCUGCUGCAUGUUGGGGGUUGGAAAGUUUCGGUGGUUGGGGAUGGACUCGCGGCUUAUCAGCUUGUUGGUGAGGUAGUGGAUUACCAAGGCUUUGACGGGUAGCCGGCCUGAGAGGGUAACCGGCCACAUUGGGACUGAGCUACGGCCCAGACUCCUACGGUAGGCAGCGGUGGAGAAUAUUGUACAAUAGGGGGAAGCCUGAUGCAGCAACGCCGCGAGCGGGAGAACGGCCUUCGGGUUGUAAACCGCUUUCGCCUGUGACGAAGCGUGAGUGACGGUAAUGGGUAAAGAAGCACCGGCUAACUACGUG